GGCCCCGUGGCGGAAUUGGCAGACGCGCCAGACUUAGGAUCUGGUCUCGAGAGAGGUUCCGGUUCGACCCCGGACGGGGCCACCA
rnacentral:tRNA from 1 species